rnacentral:rRNA from 1 species
AGAGUUUGAUCCUGGCUCAGAACGAACGCUGGCGGCGUGGAUAAGACAUGCAAGUCGAACGGAGCUUUGAGGGCUUGCUCUCGAAGCUUAGUGGCGAACGGGUGCGUAACACGUGAGCAAUCUGCCGGGAAGUGGGGGAUAGCUCGCCGAAAGGCGAAUUAAUACCGCAUAUGACCAGAGGGGACAUCCCUUCGACGUCAAAGUCGCAAGACGCUUCCUGAUGAGCUCGCGGCCUAUCAGCUUGUUGGUGAGGUAACGGCUCACCAAGGCUAUGACGGGUAGCUGGUCUGAGAGGACGACCAGCCACACUGGAACUGAGACACGGUCCAGACACCUACGGGUGGCAGCAGUCGAGAAUUUUUCACAAUGGGGGAAACCCUGAUGGAGCGACGCCGCGUGGAGGAUGAAGGUGUUUUCAUUGUAAACUCCUGUCAAACGGGAACAAGAAAGUGAUAGUACCGUAGAGAAGAG